rnacentral:rRNA from 1 species
UGGGGAAUUUUGGACAAUGGGCGAAAGCCUGAUCCAGCAAUGCCGCGUGUGUGAAGAAGGCCUUCGGGUUGUAAAGCACUUUUGUCCGGAAAGAAAUCCUUGGCUCUAAUACAGUCGGGGGAUGACGGUACCGGAAGAAUAAGCACCGGCUAACUACGUGCCAGCAGCCGCGGUAAUACGUAGGGUGCAAGCGUUAAUCGGAAUUACUGGGCGUAAAGCGUGCGCAGGCGGUUUGCUAAGACCGAUGUGAAAUCCCCGGGCUCAACCUGGGAACUGCAUUGGUGACUGGCAGGCUAGAGUAUGGCAGAGGGGGGUAGAAUUCCACGUGUAGCAGUGAAAUGCGUAGAGAUGUGGAGGAAUACCGAUGGCGAAGGCAGCCCCCUGGGCCAAUACUGACGCUCAUGCACGAAAGCGUGGGGAGCAAACAGGAUUAGAUACCCUGGUAGUCCACGCCCUAAACGAUGUCAACUAGUUGUUGGGGAUUCAUUUCCUUAGUAACGUAGCUAACGCGUGAAGUUGACCGCCUGGGGAGUACGGUCGCAAGAUUAAAACUUCAAAUGGAAUUGACGGGGUCAUAGCUG